rnacentral:rRNA from 1 species
CGGGUUGCGGACAGUGUCUGGUGGGUAGUUUGACUGGGGCGGUCUCCUCCUAAAGAGUAACGGAGGAGCACGAAGGUUGGCUAAUCCUGGUCGGACAUCAGGAGGUUAGUGCAAUGGCAUAAGCCAGCUUGACUGCGAGCGUGACGGCGCGAGCAGGUGCGAAAGCAGGUCAUAGUGAUCCGGUGGUUCUGAAUGGAAGGGCCAUCGCUCAACGGAUAAAAGGUACUCCGGGGAUAACAGGCUGAUACCGCCCAAGAGUUCAUAUCGACGGCGGUGUUUGGCACCUCGAUGUCGGCUCAUCACAUCCUGGGGCUGAAGUAGGUCCCAAGGGUAUGGCUGUUCGCCAUUUAAAGUGGUACGCGAGCUGGGUUUAGAACGUCGUGAGACAGUUCGGUCCCUAUCUGCCGUGGGCGCUGGAGAACUGAGGGGGGCUGCUCCUAGUACGAGAGGACCGGAGUGGACGCAUCACUGGUGUUCGGGUUGUCAUGCCAAUGGCACUGCCCGGUAGCUAAAUGCGGAAGAGAUAAGUGCUGAAAGCAUCUAAGCACGAAACUUGCCCCGAGAUGAGUUCUCCCUGACCCUUUAAGGGUCCUGAAGGAACGUUGAAGACGACGACGUUGAUAGGCCGGGUGUGUAAGCGCAGCGAUGCGUUGAGCUAACCGGUACUAAUGAACCGUGAGGCUUAACCUUACAACGCCGAAG